AGAGUUUGAUCCUGGCUCAGAUUGAACGCUGGCGGCAUGCUUUACACAUGCAAGUCGAACGGCAGCACGGGCUUCGGCCUGGUGGCGAGUGGCGAACGGGUGAGUAAUGCGUCGGAACGCGCCGAGUAGUGGGGGAUAACGCAGCGAAAGCUGUGCUAAUACCGCAUACGUACUGAGGUAGAAAGUGGGGGACCUUCGGGCCUCACGCUAUUCGAGCGGCCGACGUCUGAUUAGCUAGUUGGUGGGGUAAAGGCUCACCAAGGCGACGAUCAGUAGCGGGUCUGAGAGGAUGAUCCGCCACACUGGGACUGAGACACGGCCCAGACUCCUACGGGAGGCAGCAGUGGGGAAUUUUGGACGAUGGGCGCAAGCCUGAUCCAGCCAUGCCGCGUGUCUGAAGAAGGCCUUCGGGUUGUAAAGGACUUUUGUCCGGGAGCAAAGCCUACUUGUUAAUACCG
rnacentral:rRNA from 1 species